GACGUAGGGGGCCAGCGUUGUUCGGAAUUACUGGGUGUAAAGGGUUCGUAGGCGGUGCGGCAAGUUGGGAGUGAAAUCUCUGGGCUUAACCCAGAGGCUGCUUCCAAAACUGCUGUGCUUGAGUGUGGGAGAGGCGCGUGGAAUUGCAGGUGUAGCGGUGAAAUGCGUAGAUAUGUGGAGGAACACCGAUGGCGAAGGCAGCCCCCUGGGUUAACACUGACGCUCAUGCACGAAAGCGUGGGGAGCAAACAGG
rnacentral:rRNA from 1 species